rnacentral:tRNA from 1 species
UCUAAUUUGGCAGAAUAGUGCAUUGGACUUAAACCCCAAAUAUAAAAUAAAUUUUAUUUAGAAA